GCAAUCCUCCUGCAUCAGCCUCCUGAGUAGCUGGAAUUACAGGCUGUCUAGGUGGAGUUGUACAGCUGUGGUGGAAAUAGAGGCAGGACUGAGCUGGAGUGGACAGAGACCUUGCUGCAGGGUGGAGAACAUUACAGCAAAGCCCGGCAGCUAUGGAUUUUACUGAAGUUCUUGGAACUUGCCUUUGUUUCUCUUGUUAUUUGGCAA